UACCACCAUCAUCACUACCAUCAUCACUUUCACCAUCACUACAGUGGUGAUGAUGGUGAUGAUGAUGGUGGUGGUGAUGAUGGUGGUGGUG